rnacentral:lncRNA from 1 species
CAGAAAUGAAAAGUCUGCCUUAUGGAAGACAUGGCACCGACGAUUUCCCUGACAGCACCAUCAUCACGCAGCUAGGCGGCUGACCCGCGUCUUCCUCAUGACGUGGAAUGGUUUGAGUCAAGGGUUUUCAUGGCCAUGAGCCACGUGGAGGCUGUGCCUUUUGUUUCCUCUGAGAAAUCUUCAACCAGCGCCACUCUCAGCCUCCCCUCUGCCAGCGCUUCUGUGACUACACCUGCAUUCGUGGGCUGUGGCUGCGAAGCACAGGAAUAAUUUACGGCUCCUGGGGCACUUUGCUGGGCUGCUUCCGGAAAAGUUGACCCCUCCCUGCAAACCAGCACUGCCCAGCAUUCCUGUCCCGCCAAGCCUGACUGCGAGGCUGUUGUGGCGUUGCCACUUUGCUCGGAAAGGGCCCCUUAUUUUUAUUUCCCUUGCAUUUUUUCAAUUCUACCAUGACCAUUUUUCAUACAUGUGGCCAUCAUUGUAUUUUGCCCCCAUUUUGUGAGGUUUAGCGUAUUCUUAAAGUUUCCUGGGUUUUGAGGAGAGCAUAUUCUGUCAUUAUAUUUAACAGGUGUUUUCCCCAGCUUG